rnacentral:rRNA from 1 species
CCACGGGUGGCAUCAGUGAGGAAUAUUGGUCAAUGGCCGAGAGGCUGAACCAGCCAAGUCGCGUGAGGGAAGACGGCCCUACGGGUUGUAAACCUCUUUUGUCGGGGAGCAAAGCGAGUCACGUGUGACUCAUUGAGAGUACCCGACGAAAAAGCAUCGGCUAACUCCGUGCCAGCAGCCGCGGUAAUACGGAGGAUGCGAGCGUUAUCCGGAUUUAUUGGGUUUAAAGGGUGCGCAGGCGGAGGUGCAAGUCAGCGGUCAAAUUGCGGGGCUCAACCCCGUACUGCCGUUGAAACUGCAUCCCUUGAGUGCGCGAGAAGUAUGCGGAAUGCGUGGUGUAGCGGUGAAAUGCAUAGAUAUCACGCAGAACUCCGAUUGCGAAGGCAGCAUACCGGCGCGCAACUGACGCUCAUGCACGAAAGCGUGGGUAUCGAACAGGAUUAGAUACCCCUGUAGUC